UCCCGCCGAGCCGCGGCCCGGGCCGGGGCCAGGAGCUGCCUCGGAGAGCGGGUUUGACAUCGGAGCGUGUUUGCGUGAGGGGAACUGGCCACGAGAAGGGAAGAGGAGCGACAUGGAAGGAAUUCUUGGCUGUGAGGGUGGAGAGGCCCCGUCAGAGGCUGCCCGGAGAAGCUGUGUCUGCCCCUGGAUCCCUGGAAGUGCCCAAGGCCAGGUUGGAUGGAGCUCUGAACACACAGGGUCAGUGGACACUGUCCCUGCCCACAGCAGGGGUUGGAACAGAUCAUCUUUAAGCUCCCUUCCAAGCCAAACCAUUCCAUGAUCCAAUGAUAAAUUACAUAUUACACAAUAUCUACUCAUUCCAUGUUCCGGCAAAGGAGAAUUUGUGACAAGCUGAAGAUGCUACACCAACCAAAACUUAAAAGAUAACCUGUCAGUGGGAGUCUAACUGUAGUGAAUAUUCUCUUGCUGUCUAAUAAAUGUCUUUCAUUUGUGAAAGGCAUCUUGGCUUGUUUUAAUCACUGCUGCUGGAAAGCUAUUUUCAGAGCUAUCAGGUCCAUAAAUACCAAUAAAUGAACAGGUAUAAUUGCCACACGUUUAAAAUAGCUUGUACACAUGGGAGGGAACGCUAUCCUUAAUGUCAGAUAUACCCUGAAAAAUGGCCAAAUCACGAGCCUCAUAUGCAAAAAGAUCCUCAAAUUUUUAUGUAUUGUAACAAGGACAGUAUCUGGCUGAAACCUGUUGUUCUCUACAUUGUAGCAAUUACCUCCCGUGUGUCAGGUGCUCCUGUAAAUCUGUCUUCUGUUUGGUGAAUUAUUUUAGAGCCAAACUAAUUUUAGAAUAUUUCCAGCAACUGCAUUGACUGAUCAUAUUGCAAUCUUGUGAAUAUGUAAAAGCCCUGAGAGUUAAAAAUGUGAUUGUCACAGUUAGUCUUAGUGUUUCACAGCUGACAGUGACAGAAAAUCACAUCGCUUGUCCUGGAAGGUUAUCUCUAAGCAAUAUUUUUUUGAUGCCAUUUCUUUAUUUUCAAUUUAACACUUAUUUGUUUAGGGAAUGCCAGGUGGGUUUGAAGGGUAAGAAACAUUGGAGGGUAAAAAACAUUGCAGUUCUUUUUGAGCAGAGAGCUCCCAGUUGCAGCUGACUAUGUCAUUGCUGGAUUUUGGUUUUUAUUUUUUUUAUGUUUGUGUGUUCUGCAUCAUCAGUGAGUCACAAGCCCCGGGAGGAUGUAUAUCAAUGCAAGUAUCACAAAGCUGUUUUAACUUCAUGGUCAGUUGUUUUUCACUCAGAAUCCAGAGGCAGUUGGAGUUUCUAAGAAACUAUAAUCCAGAUAAUCUUAAUGUAAUAUGAUCUGAAUUAUAAAAAUUCCUAUUAUUACAAUGUCUUAGGGAAGUCACAGCUAAUUCAACAAGAUGCAAGAUCAGCUUUAUGUUUUAUGACAAACAGCAAUUAAAACUAUCUAAGAAGAGAUUCAAAAGCAUUUAGGCAGCCUUUUCCUAAUUUUUUUGUUAAUUUUAUAUAUAUUUUUAGUUGUUUCAAACAGCACGGAAGAGUAUCUGGGAGUAAUACCUACUCUGUUUCAUGUUGAAAUGUUAAAGUUACCAGAUGUCCUUGAUUCAUCUUGGCAGUCCCCAUGUGCUUUUCAUCAUUUGUCUCAUGGCAGAAGACACUAAUUAAAAUGAAAUAGAGUAGAACUCCAUGCUCAGGACACUUUGUCAACUUUUGGCACUAUGGUCAAGCCAGGAUUGUUUUGCUCUGGUAUUAAGCAGAGAGCUGAUGGCUCCGAGCCAUGCUGACAUUUGUUUUUGAGAGGAAAAGGUGGAAAACCUUUUUCAUUAAGCUGGAACACGGAGCAUUCGGUGGCUGUGGGUGGUGUGGCAGAGCCAGGCAGGAGGAACCUGCUGGCCCUGCUCUCCGUGGGGCCAAUUCCCCCAGGAGGAGCCACCCUGCUCCUCGGUGCUGCCCAGAAAAGGAAGCUCUGAUCACCCACUGAUCCCUCAGAGCGUGUGCUCCGUGCUGUUACAAAAUGUUUGGAGUGUUCAGGAACUCUGGGAGCUAAAUUUAGAGUGCCUAGCUGUGCUCUGGAUAUCGUUGGGUGGAUGGCUCCUAUGGGAUGAGGGGAGGUGGAUGGAAUUAAACUCACAAUGCACAACAUUCUGAGACUGAGACCAUUGGAAAUCAUAUGGAGAAUAAGGCUUGCACUUGAUGUGAGAAGGAAACUCAAGUGUUUGCAUCCUUUUCAGCUUAAUCAUGUUGCUUUUUGUUUUAAAAAACAACAUUUUAUAGUAUUCUUUUGGAAGAAAUCUGCUUUAUUUUAGCCUUAAAAUGCAGCCUUCCUCUUUCUCAUUUGCUGCUGGGAAAUAAGCAGGGUUUGAACAGGCCUCAGGGAGGUGACCUGAAUUGUAUGGAGGGCAAAAAGAAAAGUGCUUCGUAAUUCUUUGUAACCUUUGGAAGUGACUCCUGUGAGCUGACAGAAGACAGACAGGAUCAUGAAGAAUGCUUUGACAGAUCUUAGCAUACCUGUGAUCCAUGAUCUGGUACCAUAUAAAUGAGUUUAAUGGCACAGAUCCAGUGGUAAAUGCCUCUUCAAAGUAAGGCUUCUUUCUUUAAAAAGUAGGGCUUCUUGCAGCAAACCUGGAUUAAUUUUAGCAGCUAUAUUCAGUUUUAGUAAUUCCAGUUUCUUAAGACUAAAGACAACAAGAAUUUGUAAGGAACACAACGAGAAGACUCUUGUUCUUGACAGAGUCAACAUCCAUUAAACUGCAGUUAAUUUUCUUAGGUCCAGUCUGAUCAACUACAGCUUGAAAAAGCUAAGUAACUUCUGUCACCACAGUUUUACUGGCUCCUUGACCAUAUUAAGGAUUUUUUUGGGGUGUUCCUAAACACCAAAGUAAUUCUUUCUUUUUGUUUAUCUUACCAUAUUUUUUUUAAGUUUUUGAGGUCAAGUCAGCUUUUCCAGAUUAAUAGUCAACGAUUAUUCUGAAAUAUCCCCAUCCACUGCAAAACACAGGAUUUCAGGCCUGAAUCCCACUUCCAGCUGUCAUGGAAAUUUCCAGUCCUAUCCCAAAGGAAAAUUCCAUUUUCAGCCUUCCAUUCAAACCCCUGUUUAGGGAAGAGUGUGCUUUGAAUUAGUGUCCUCCUCAAAUCUCAUUGAUGCAGCUCAUUCUAACUUCUUUCAACGGUCUCAAACCCUAUGAUUUAUCCACAGAAAAUCGUGCUCAUUUCACAAAUGAAUGAAUGAAUGGCUUUUAAAGAGAUAGAUUUAUGUGAUGUAACACAUUUACUAUCAAAAGUGUAGUAAGCAGUAAGUUUAUCUAGUAAAAAAAAAAAAAGAAAAAGGUGUUACAAUCUCUUAUUGACACACUGCACUUUAUAGACAUUAUUUUCUUGCUAAGGAGACAACUUGUUCUUUAGCCCAAAACAUUUUAAUUUAGUAACAUAUAUGAUACAAAAAGAAUUACUAAGUGAGUGUAGUUGUAACUGUGUUGCUAAAAUUGCAGCAGUUCACACUAAAUAAAUUAAGGGUAUUAGAGCGAUAUGUGUCAGAAAUUUAAACCUCCAAGAUAAUGGCAAUUGAGCAAGUAUUCAAACAGCAUAUUUGUGGCUUUGAGAAAAACAUCCAGACCCAAUUAGAACCAUUUGUUGAGGUCUGUAGAGUUUCUUUUUUACUUUCCUAUGUAUGCUAUAAAAUAUUUUAAACAUUCCCCAUUCUUGUUGUUUGAAACUGAAAUGUGAAUUAUUUUUUUUUAAUAUCCCAAUGCUUCUUUGGCUCUGUUUAAAUCAACGGCAAGUAAUUCUUGUAAUAAAAUGAGCAGUAUUAGCUAUAAUUCUUGAAGGACGACUUAGUAAAAUACGGACUUUUCUAUGCAUUCUUUUGGCACAUAAUCUAACAUUUUUACUGCUUGCAUAAUGAUGGAACUAUUGGUUUUAAUGCCAUUUAUUAUUUCAGCAGAUAGAGUUCAAACUGUGUAGAGCCUAGGCUCUCUAAUAGAUAGAUAGUGGAUAUUGUAGGAAUAUUUCUUGCUCGUGGGAAGCAAGACAGGAGCUGACAGUUUAACAGUGGGUGCAUUUGUGGGUGAAAUUCAGUACUGGGAAAGGGGCCAGUUCCCGGUGAUUUCAUUCUUCAGGAGAGAACAUUAAUGCAGGCAUCUUGCUGUAGCCAAGGGAAGCCAGCUCCCCUGACCCUCAUCAUCCCAAAUGAGAGCAUGGCCAGGAGCCACGAGACACCGAGUGCCCAGCCCGGGGAAGAGCGGAGGGAAGCCCGGAGCAGGGAGCAGCUGGCACCGGCUCCUGGAGCCGAGGGGCUGAGGAGGAGGAGAAAGGCUGGCCAGGCUGCUCCCGGCCACUGCCAGCACCACAUUCCCCUGCAGUCAGGCUCCCUGCGGAACUCUUAGCACGGCCCUGCUGCUUUGGGAACACAGGCUGACCCCUGCUUCUGAUCCUUUUAAAAAACUGUUAUUUCCCUUCUGUAAUAUUUGUAUUACUGCCAUGUCAGCGCUCUGUUUAUUCCAUUUCUCUCAAGGACAAGAAAGCAUCAAACCAUACUUCUAAACUUACCACAUAUACUUCAUAUAGAAUUAACAUGUGUUAAAAGAGUAAAACACAUCUUAAUGUGCCCUUCUAAAGAAUCAUUAUCCUGAGGAUAGUAAAGCCAAUCUCUUUGGAGAAGCUGGAGCACAAUUACUUGCCCUUCCAACUUUCCUAUCUUCUUUUGUUCAGGACAAGGGUGGAGUUCAAAAAGCAGGCAGUAAGGAUUUCACCUUUGCUGAUAAUCCAUGAAACACCUGAGAAUAAAUCUGAUCCUAAAUUUAGUCCCCCUGUAAAAUAACUAAAGGAACAGUAACUGAAAUUGAACAGGAAAAUGUUUGUUAUAUUUUAAAUGUACUUUUCUCUGCUCUGUAUUCAACACUCAGGUUAGUGGCCAAAUCUCCUUUCCACACAAAUCAAUCAAUCAACUGUGACUGACUUCAAUAGGAGAUUGAUUUCCUACUUCGAACCUUGGCUACACCUUUGUACCUCCAGUUAAGCUAUCUCUUCUCCACGUUUUCUCAAAUUUACUCUACUUAGAGGCUUGCUGCUUUCCCAGUAUUUCAUAAUGGAAAAGGUGCAGAACACAUCAAACCAGGAACAAAUAAAUUGUUAUUUUCCCUGUACAAACCAAAGAGUUUCAAAGAAGGACUCAGGGCUUGAGAAUUCUCCUGUGACCGCAGUGUUUGCCUGUUGCCAAGGCCUGUGGUGGGAUCUGGGUUCUUGUUGUGGUGACAAAAUAAGUUCUUCCACCACAAGUAAAUGUCGUCCCCACAAAAUGGAAUAAUUUCCAACUCAGCAUGACAGUUAAAGCCCUUGGCUUUCAGUAAACUGGGACUUAAGCAGCAAAUCAAACAACCCAUUUUCUUUUUGAUGCAGUGCCAUGUGGUUGGCUACUUAGAAUCUCACUUUUUGUGCAGUGAUAAAAUUCUCUUCUGCCCCUCACUAUUGGGCAUUUGCUGUGACAUGCAUGAGAAUUGCAGGCACAUAUAGGAAAAAAUCAACUUGCCAUGGAAGAUUUACUGGUGAGGCAACGGUCAAAUUUUUUUCUUUCUCUGCAAUUCUGAGCCUGGAACAGCUUCCUUGUCUCCAGCAGAUGAGAACGAAAUCUGGCUCAUUUAAUCUAAUUUUGUCUCCGCCAACAGAUCUUUCUCUCAGUUCUGGUCUGCAGAGCUGAUUUUUAUAAUAGCUUCAAUAGGAAAAAAAGAGAGAAAAAUUUAAAAUCUCACCGUAGAGAGCCUCCAAUGUUUCCUCUGGACAUAUUAUAACUCCCACUGUUAACCAGUAACUGUGUAUCUUUUUUUUUUUUUGAAUAAUGAUGCCCAUAAUACUGGAAGCUCUAACAUUUACUCAGCCAAGACCAUUUAUCUUGUUAUAACAGGAUCAGCAUCUCAGCUGGGGCUUCUGGAUGCGACUCCACUACAAACAAAAUUAAAACCACCAGUCAGCUGGAAUUAAUAGUAUAUAGGAGCCACACUGUUACUCUGCUCACACACAGAAGGACGUGUGGAGGGUGUUAAAUCCCAGCACAAUGCACUGGGAGAAAUGGAUUUUUCCAUAAUUACCAAACCCCUUAGAUAGCAGCUAUCACCAGGAACCAGGAGAGCUCCUGAAAAUAUUGCUCCAACAUUCCUAAUGGAUGGUUUUCCUCGUGGCUACGUCGGCAAGAGCUCAGUGCCAGCUCCCCCCCUCCUCCUGCACUGCAAUACGUAGGAAGCCUUUAUUCCCAAACGGGAGCGUUUGCUUGCUGACAUCACAUGCGGUAGGAUCCUUUUGUUUGCCUGUGUCUCCUGCAUUGAAAUGUUUGUCUGAGUCACAGAUCCCGCUGCCUCCCUUCCCCUAUGUCAUGCUGCUUGCUUCAGAGCUUCUCCCUGACUCAUAGUUUUUAAAUUUUGACACAGCCCAGUUUGCUGCAUGGCAACUCAAUACUUUUCCCUUUAAUAUUUUAUUACGUAAUUUUUAUCUAAACCUUAUAAUGAUGCAAAAACCACUGCCUUCCCCCCUCCCCCCCCUUUUCUUUUUGCAGCCUUUUUUGAAUAGGGAGAUUUUAUGACUCAGAUUCAGCACUGAAUUUCGUUUCAAGGCAAAGUCAGUUUAGUGUAUACUAAAUAAAAAAUUUAAGAUAGUGACUCCCACAACUUGAAUUCUCCAUUUAGCUGCUGGCUGAGUUUCCUCAGCUCUAACGUUACCGAGUGCUCUGCCAAAAGGGGUCAUCUCUGUGCAUGUGUACAAACACUCCUCAUAAUUGAAGUAAUUACUGUUUUGCAGUGCAGCACCUUUUUUCUCCUCUAAUAAUCUCCUUGAUUUGCUUUUUCUUAAUAAAAAGAGGACAAAGAGCUGCUGUGCUUUCAGUGUACUUUCAUUCUCUGGGUUUAGACUCUGGAGCUGCUGAUAUUGCUGGUGCCUAAGUCUGGGUUUCCUCUUUAUUACAGCCAUGAACAAAAGAGAUCCUGAUUACAGCAAGAAAUGAAAUGAAGAACGUGGAAGUAAGGGCUAUGCAGCAGUUUGGUUCAAGCCUGAGCCACGGUAAAAUAUUCCCACUUACUGAGACAGGAAGAUAAAAUUAUUGUGCUGGAUUAAAUCCUUUGUCCUUCAGAUGCAGCCUUUCAUCUCUUGUUGCCACUACAGGAUAAAUGAGAAGUUCAAAGCAGAGCUUUGAUUGUCCUUGACCAAGGACUUUGCGGCAGGUGAGGGCUAAAGCCCCACUCUGGUGUAGCACAGAAAGCUGCAUUUCUCUUCCAGCAUCCACUGCCUGUGUCCUGCUCUGAGCCCGUGGUGAGCACACAGUGCUGCAUCCAACCUCCUUAAAAUUCAGGUACACACAAAGCCAGAUGACUGAUCCACAUGCCUGUCAUUAAAUGUUCUGUGCUA